rnacentral:rRNA from 1 species
CCUACGGGAGGCAGCAGUGAGGAAUAUUGGUCAAUGGACGAGAGUCUGAACCAGCCAAGUAGCGUGAAGGAUGACUGCCCUAUGGGUUGUAAACUUCUUUUAUAUGGGAAUAAAAUGUUCCACGUGUGGGAUUUUGUAUGUACCAUAUGAAUAAGGAUCGGCUAACUCCGUUCCAGCAGCCGCGGUAAUACGGAGGAUCCGAGCGUUAUCCGGAUUUAUUGGGUUUAAAGGGAGCGUAGGUGGAUUGUUAAGUCAGUUGUGAAAGUUUGCGGCUCAACCGUAAAAUUGCAGUUGAAACUGGCAGUCUUGAGUACAGUAGAGGUGGGCGGAAUUCGUGGUGUAGCGGUGAAAUGCUUAGAUAUCACGAAGAACUCCGAUUGCGAAGGCAGUUCACUGGACUGCAACUGACACUGAGGCUCGAAAGUGUGGGUAUCAAACAGGAUUAGAUACCCCUGUAGUC